AUUGAACGCUGGCGGCAGACCUAACACAUGCAAGUCGAGCGGCAGCGGAAAGUAGCUUGCUACUUUGCCGGCGAGCGGCGGACGGGUGAGUAAUGUCUGGGAAACUGCCCUGAUGGAGGGGGAUAACUACUGGAAACGGUAGCUAAUACCGCAUAACCUCGAAAGAGCAAAGUGGGGGAUCUUCGGACCUCACGCCAUCGGAUGUGCCCAGAUGGGAUUAGCUAGUAGGUGAGGUAAUGGCUCACCUAGGCGACGAUCCCUAGCUGGUCUGAGAGGAUGACCAGCCACACUGGAACUGAGACACGGUCCAGAUCCUACGGGAGCAGCAGUGGGAAUAUUGCACAAUGGCGGCAAGACCUCGAUGCA
rnacentral:rRNA from 1 species